GAGCGCCUCCUGCGCCGCGACUUCUCCAACUUCUCGGCCUGGCACCAACGCCUGCGGCUCCUGCGCGGCGCCGGCGGCAUCGACCCGGAGCGUCUGCACCGCGAGCUGGAGCUGGUCCGGAACGCCGCCUUCACCGACCCCCAUGACCAGAGCGCCUGGAUCUACCUGCGCUGUGCCCUGUCCCAGGCCUUGCCCCCCCCCCGCCUCCUCUCCC